rnacentral:tRNA from 1 species
GCUCCCAUGGCAUAGUGGUCACUGCACUCGUCUUGCACACAAGAGACCCGGGUUUGAUUCCCGGUGGUGUCA